AUUAUAGUGGCCCUUGACGGUUUCCGUGAGGGGAUAAAACGUUCCAUUGCGGAAAAAGGGAACAAGGUGCCGCGAUUUCGCAUCGCAAUGCCUGGGCUGCCCCCGCAACUGUAAGCGGCGAGCCGGUCUUUCGACAACGCCACUGAGGCCGAAACGCCUUGGGAAGGCAGAAAGAUCAGCCAAGACCCGCGAGCCAGGAGACCUGCCGUCAUUCAUUGCCUGUGC
rnacentral:ncRNA from 1 species